rnacentral:rRNA from 1 species
CCUACGGGAGGCAGCAGUGAGGAAUAUUGGUCAAUGGGCGGGAGCCUGAACCAGCCAAGUCGCGUGAGGGAAGACGGUCCUACGGAUUGUAAACCUCUUUUGCCGGGGAGCAACGGGGUCCUUGAGAGGGCCCGGUGAGAGUACCCGCUGAAAAAGCAUCGGCUGACUCCGUGCCAGCAGCCGCGGUAAUAAGGAGGAGGCUAGCGUGAGACGGAUUGAGUGGGUUAAAGGGGUGCGUCGGCGGGCUGUUAGGGCAGCGUUCAAAUGUGGGGGGUCAACCCCGGCCUGCCGUGGAAACUGGCGGCCUCGAGUGGGCGAGAAGUAGGCGGAAUGCGUGGUGUAGCGGUGAAAUGCAUAGAUAUCACGCAGAACUCCGAUUGCGAAGGCAGCAUACCGGCGCCCGACUGACGCUGAGGCACGAAAGCGUGGGUAUCGAACAGGAUUAGAUACCCUGGUAGUC